ACUCCUACGGGAGGCAGCAGUGGGGAAUCUUAGACAAUGGGGGCAACCCUGAUCUAGCCAUGCCGCGUGUGUGACGAAGGCCCUAGGGUCGUAAAGCACUUUCGCCGGGGAAGAUAAUGACGGGUACCCGGUAAAGAAGUCCCCGGCUAACUCCGUGCCAGCAGCCGCGGUAAUACGGAGGGGACUAGCGUUGUUCGGAAUUACUGGGCGUAAAGCGCGCGUAGGCGGACCAUUAAGUCAGGGGUGAAAUCCCGGGGCUCAACCCCGAACUGCCCUUGAUACUGGUGGCCUGGA
rnacentral:rRNA from 1 species